CUGCCUUUGGCGGAGGGGUGACGCGGCCCCCUGCCGGGGGGCGGUUCGCCUCCGGCGGGGGUGGUGGUUCGCUUCCGGCGGGGGUGGG
rnacentral:tRNA from 1 species